AUUGAACGCUGGCGGCAGGCCUAACACAUGCAAGUCGAGCGGAGCGGCGGACGGGUGAGUAAUGCCUAGGAAUCUGCCUGGUAGUGGGGGAUAACGUCCGGAAACGGGCGCUAAUACCGCAUACUAUCAGAUGAGCCUAGGUCGGAUUAGCUAGUUGGUGGGGUAAAGGCCUACCAAGGCGACGAUCCGUACCUGGUCUGAGAGGAGGAUCAGUCACACUGGAAGUGAGACACGGUCCAGACUCCUACGGGAGGCAGCAGGGGGGAAUAUUGGACAAGGGGAGAAAGCCUGAGGCAGCCAUGCCGCGUGUGUGAAGAAGGUAUUCGGGUUGGAAAGCACUUUAAGCGGGGAGGCGUUACCAACAGAAUAAGCACCGGCUAACUCCGUGCCAGCAGCCGCGGUAAUAC
rnacentral:rRNA from 1 species